rnacentral:rRNA from 1 species
UUGACGGGGAGCACCACAACGGGUGGAGCUUGCGGUUUAAUUGGAUUCAACGCCGGAAAUCUUACCGGGACCGACAGCAAUAUGAAGGCCAGGCUGAAGACUUUGCCGGAUUAGCUGAGAGGUGGUGCAUGGCCGUCGUCAGUUCGUACUGUGAAGCAUCCUGUUAAGUCAGGCAACGAGCGAGACCCACGCCCACAGUUGCCAGCGUACUCUCUGGAGUGACGGGUACACUGUGGGGACCGCCGCUGCUAAAGCGGAGGAAGGAAUGGGCAACGGUAGGUCAGUAUGCCCCGAAUAUCCCGGGCUACACGCGAGCUACAAUGGUUGGUACAAUGGGUAUCUACCCCGAAAGGGGACGGGAAUCUCCUAAAACCAAUCUUAGUUCGGAUUGAGGGCUGCAACUCGCCCUCAUGAAGCUGGAAUCCGUAGUAAUCGCGUUUCAACAGAGCGCGGUGAAUACGUUCCCGGGCCUU